GUAUGCUGUGGGUGGAUUCUUGUUGUUGUCUUGUUGGGCUGUGUAUGUGAUAAGGGGGACCCAUACUGGGGUAAAGGAGUCCUAUUUGUCCCUGUGUCAGUUUCAGUUUAUUGGUUAGCUUUUCUAGUAAGGCUGUUUCCCAUACAAUUUGGUACCACUGGUCCAUGUUCCCUCCUGACAGGUCUCUCCAGUGCCUGGCUAUGAGGCUUCUGGCUGCUGAGAGUAUGUGGGUUAUAAGCUCUGAAUAAUGCGAGUGGUCAUUAUGAUCUUGGAAGGUGUUCAGUAGGGCCACUUCUGGAGAGAGUUCUAAUACCUGUUUAGUUAUUUUGCAUAUCUCUUGUAGGACUGCUAUUUCCUUACCUCUCUGAGGUUCUGUCAGGCAUUGACCAACACACUUCCAUGCCAUUAGAGCUAGAAACUGGACAAAUCCCAUAUCCUAAAUCAAAAUGAGGGAUCUAGGGCUGUCAAAGGGGUCGUGUGGUUGAAUGGGGAGGAGAGCAGGGGAGAGAAGUAGAUGAUGUAGGAAGAGGCUGUCAAUUUGGGGUCUAGCUAGGGCCGGGUUGGGCACAAAUCACUCUGGGUUAGACCUGGGCCUGAUCAGGAUGGCUGAAUUGAGCCCUGAACCAAUUCCUUGCCCAACCCUUCUAGAAACUUAAUAUUUAAUCAUUAUUUUUUAAAAAUGAAAGCUGAGAUUGUUAAGAGGCUGAGCCUGAACAUCAUUUUCAGUGCUUUUGUGCUUGCAUAGAACCACAACAUCCUUAUUAGGGAUGGGGGUGAAAUUCCAUUUGGUUUGCAUUUUAAGGAAGAACUCCCUAAUUCACAUGUGAGCUGAAACAUAGCUAUCUGUGAAAAUCCACACUUCUCUGAAGUUUGGUGAUGCUGUUCUCCCACCAAGCAAUGUAUACAAAAAUGCAAAUGGUUGGGGGCGGGGAUUGCAUUAAAGUGCAUAGAAUAAGAAAAAGCAACAUAUGAAAACAUCUUGCAUUAGGGGGAAUGACUUGUACAAAUGUGAAUAUUAGUCAAAAAUGACAUGAAGAAUCUGUUUCUUGGGAGAAAUUUGCACCAAAAUCCUAAGAAAUCUUUGUGAUGAUUUUUUUUUAAUGCAGAUAUGUGGCGUGUUGAAUUUAAGAUCAGAAAAAUGAAAAAUGGGGAGAAAUUGGAAAUCUGCCCAUCCUGAAUACACACAGACUUGAUAUGCAUGACCCUAUAUAAUGGAGAACCAUCUCUUUAACUAUGAAACCUUUUGCUUUCCAUAACUAAACACAUUAUUAGACAAAUGCCCCACUAUCAGAGUUGUAUCCUCACAGUGGCUGCUGCAGUUUUUCAUCUCUAUGCUCUUGCCAAAUCAACAGUGUGGGUCAGUCCCUCCUCACCACAUCCUGUGUCUGCUCUGUAAUGUGGCCACCCUGGGGAAUACCCCAGGAUCCUGCAGAGCAGCCUGCAUCUUUUUAAGGAUUCUUUGCUCUCACUUUGUUCUGACAUCUGAAAGGCAGGAGACCAUCCUGUUUCCUUUAUUGGGGUCAUCUGCCUUCCUUUUUUUUAUCCUCUCAGUCUCUGGGACUCUUCUAGUCACUUCUGUCCUACUGUCAGACUCCUCUGCAUGUCUCUUUCCCUUUUGAUUGUGGGUUGAGCUCCUUGCUUCCCUCAGUUCUUUCUCAAGGGAGGUCAGGAGGAGAACACUUUGCUGCAAUGCAUUAAGAUCAAAAAGUUCCACAUUGCUCUACCUGGCAAUCUUGCAAACAGGGAGGAAAGAGGAGAUAGCAGGAGAGGACCAUGAGGUUUAUAUGGUAGCCAUUGUUGGCUUGCAGUUUUCGGCUUUGGAUUCAGCCCAGAUUUGGGAAAGGGCCAUAGCUCAGUGGUUGAUCAUUUGUCUUGCAUGUAGAAGGUCACAGGUUCAGUUCCCAGCAGAGCUGGGAGGAGAGAACACCUUUCCCAAAACAUACCGACCAAAGUUAUUUUAGGACUUCUGCUUGAGAUCCUGGAUACUGUUGAGCACAUCAGUAGUAGGGCUUGCUCUCCAGGAUUUGAGAUGAGGAAUCUUUCCCCAGCCCUACCUGGAGAUGCCACUGGGAAUUGACCCAGGGGCCUUCUGCUUGUAAAGCAGGGGCACUAGGGCUGAGCAAUGGCCCUUCCCCAAAUAAUAAUAUGACCCUUCCUCUCCUGUAACAAGACUGACCUUUCUUGCAGGGCUGUUAGACUUUGUGAUGCACCUUGCAAUAAGCUAUAUCCACAAGCAACCAGAAGAAGCCCUUUUGGGAGGGUGGAUGCAGAAAUCCCAGCAAGGAAAACCUAGAAGCUGCUUUUGUAGCACUAUCUCCUGGGCCCUGGGCACCUGUUUGCCAGGUAAUUAAUUCUGGAGGGCAAAUCUCCAUUCCUUUAUCACAACAACAGCAUGGAGGGUACAUCUCUCCCCCCCUCCUUACCUUUUUUCUUUCCACGUUUUAGAGCUGAAAAGGGCUCCCUCCUCCUCUAGGGAGCAAUGGAACAGGCUUGUAAAGGAACCCGGGCCCCGCAAAACAAUAACAGUAAAUAACGCUCACCGUCAGUGUCAUAAAAAAUGGGGAAACGGUUACAAUGUUUUUUAAUAAGUGUCUCCCAUAAAUCUCCGUUUGGCAGGAGGGGGAGGCAGAAGGCAGUGAGCAUAGAGGCACUGGCUUGGAGGCAAUUUCAGGGGUAGGGUGGGGAGCAGUAUUGUCAGAGGAGAGGAGCAAGAGAUUUGGCAAUAUUUUGUCACUAGUAAAAAUGAGCAGUUACAAGUUAAUAGUCCUGGGCAGAUGAGUCUCUGAGCAGCUCAUGUCAAUUUCACCUGGGUUCAUUCAUAAGUGUAAUCUGUCCCGUUUCCAUGUUAAUCUGUGAGGUUGUUUUUGUUUUUAAAGAAAGUUCAGUGCACAAUUUGUAUUUAAAAUCCAUAUUCAGUGCAUGCAUUUCUAAACAUAUUUUUUCCUAAAAUAUACACUUUUAGUACAUUUGGCACUUUUCCAAAGCUGAUCAUAGGAUCACAAAAUUCAGGUGAGAGCCAAAUUCAAAGGUGGUUGUGGUUAUUAUUAUCAUUAUUUUUAAAUUUUAUAUCCCACCUUGUCCUCCAAGAAGCUCAUGGUAGCAUACCUGGUUCUCCUCCUCCACGUUUAAUAUCCACAACAACCCUAAGAGGCAGUGAUUAGCCCAAGGUCACCCAGUGACCUUCAUGGCCAAGUGGGAAUUCAAACCCUGGUCUCCCAGGUCUUAGUCUGAUACUCUAACAAAUGCACCACACUGGCUAAUGAUUAUGUUCCUUAACUCAACCUUAGAUAGAAUUAUUACAUAGCCUUGCUACCCUAGCUUUGGACAUCUGAAAUGUAUAUAUUUUAAAGAACACACCCCACCAUUCUUCUGACUGUAAAUUGUUUUGACCAAUUCUAAUAUUGUCAUUUCAUUGUAACCUUUCGUACAGUCUCUAGUUGUUGAUGACUACAACAACAACAUAAACUAGUAUAACAAGGGCUACACCCGUUAGUUGAUUUAAUAGACUCCUUUAUUUUUUUAAAAAUAAAAAAUAUAUUUUAAUUGUUUAAAAGUGGGCCUGACUAGCUUGUCAGUAGAUUUCCCUUUUUAAAAAAGUUCUAGUUGUUUUAAAUACAAGCAUAUAAGCACAGAGCAAAACUAGAGAUGGUGAGUGCCAUCAGAGAAAAGGCAUUCCCGCCUUUGUUUGACAGGAAAGCCGCUCCCUUAUGUUAAGUCAAAGCUUUGGAUCCAGCACAGAGCAAGCAUGUCUCCUGGUCUCCAGUCCCAGCCUGUUUCCAGCUCAGCUCUCACACUACACAGGCUACUGUUCUCCUACCUAACAGUUUGGUGAUGGGGUGGAGGUGGAGCCUGGAGGGCACCAUCACUUAGUCAUAGUUCUUGCAGCCUAGCUUGUUCUUUUUUGAAUGCUGAUGAAGACACUUAAGCGGCCAGCUUUGUGAAGAAACUUUGUAGAAUCAUAGAACUGUAGAGCUGGAAGGAACUCAAGAGUCACCUAGUCUAUCCCCCCUGCAAUGCAGAAAUCUCCACUAAAGCAUCCAUGACAGAUGUCCACCCAACCUCUGCUUAAAAAUCUCCAGGGACAGAGUGUACACAACCUUGUGAAGGAGUCCAUUCCACUGUCAAACAGGUCUUGCUGUGAAAAUGUACCCCCGGAAGUUUAGUCGGAAUCUCCCUUCUUGUAACUUAAACCACUGGUUCAAGUUCUACCUUCUAGAGCAGAAGAAAACAAGCUUGUUUCAUCUUCCAUGUGAUAGCCCUUUAGAUAUUUGAAGAUGGUUAUAUCACCUCUCAACCUCCUCUUUCCCCAGCUAGUCCAGUUCCGCAAACUCCUCUAUUAGGUUCAAACUCUCACUGGGUACAGGAUCCCAAGAACCGGAAAGACUCAAGGCAUCAUCCAGACUGAACUUGCCCCAAACUCACAACAAGACAUUUAAAGCACAUGGCUCCCCCCUACCCAAGAAUUGUGGAAACUAUCCCAAACAAAUUGACAGAAUUCGCAGAACUUGCAAAUAUGACAGCCAAAAGAAGGAAUCAGGAUGAAAAAAAGACAAAGGGCAAAUGGGAUAGUUUUUUGAAAUAGAUAGAUAGAUAGAUAGAUGAUAGAUAAAGAUACAAAAUCAAUGUACAAACAGGGGUAAUCCUAUGAACAACAGUUAAAUACAAUGAGGGAUUAGAAGUGGGAAAGUAGGGUGGACUAAUAAACUGAUAUGCAGCAAUGCAAGGUUUAUCAAGAGUGCCAUGGAAGGUCAGGCUGAGAAGUCUGCACAGAAAUUAUGUAUGAUGUGUAAUUAUAAAUAUGGAAAAUGCAAAAACAAGAACUAGUGGAAACUGUCAUUUGUGAAUGGUGCUGGGACUUGAGCGGUAAACUACAGUUCACACGAGCAGAUGUCAUGUGCAUUAAAUGUGCUUUAAAAGUACAGUGCAUGCACAGCUUAAGGCUGGAGACAGGCAGCAGAUUUUAAGAAAGCCAAAAGCAUUUUUGAAGGGCUUCAUAAAAAGAUUUAAAAAUAAUAAUUAUUAGAUUCUCAAACCUUUAUUGGCUUAUGUACAAGAUUCCAGUAGGGUUCAAUACACACCCAAAAGAAAACGCAUUCACACAAAAAACCCCUACAUCUAACACUUACGUUAGUGCUGUAUAGUAUUCACAAAUCCUCAUUGUGUGUUGCAGAAACCUGGCUACUAUUUCCAUCUUAUCCCCAUCUUGAGUAAACAUAAGGAAGGCUACCACUUCCCCUCAUUUAUGGAAACAAUUCUGCCACCAUUGCCUGAGUCAAGCAGGAUUUUGCAGGGUUUUUAAAGCAACUUUUUGCCCUCCCCCAACUCCCUGAUUUAUAACCAGAGAUGUUGGGGGUUGAGCCAGGGACCUUCUGCAUGCAAAGCAGGGGUGCUACCACUGAGCUCUGACCUUUCCCCUUAUGCUGGUGUAGUUUCAGUUAAGGCAAACAUAAUUGGCACAUCUAGUUGAGAAGCGGGGACUCAGUUCAGAGUAAACACAUUUCUUUUCU
rnacentral:lncRNA from 1 species